rnacentral:lncRNA from 1 species
GAAAAGAAAAAACAACGGUCAACAAAUUCAUUAAAGCAACUCAAAAAAAUGCGAGCUCUACUCUCACCAGAAUCUUCUUCUCUUUAUUUCACUUCAAUCAAUAUCGUUUCUCGAGAUCCAAAUCCAUGCCGAUCUCGGACCUCUCUUUAUUUCUUGAAAAGAGACGGCGGCUGCCAUUUGAUUCGCCGGAAACCUCGUUCGACCGCCGUGAAGGCGGUGCUUGAUUCGGCGACUAUAGAGGAGCAGGUCUUAAAGAAUCUGAUAUGAGAAAUCCGGCGAUUUCUUCUACUUAUCGGAGGUCUAUGUUGCCGAAGCCGAAUCAAACGGUGUUGGAAGCUCAAGCGAGGAUUUGUACUGGACCUACGCAGACUAGACCGCUCUCGGAAGAACAGGCGUUUAAGGUUUUGGAUACAAUUUUGGAUUCCUUUUCAUACGGCACUUAUUUCGUGCAUGCAUUACAUGUUUUUCCACUCGUCUUUUUUUCCCUCUUUUUUCAUGCAUUAUCAUUUGAAGGUAUUAUCAUUAUUUUUUCCUUUAUAUAUCAUUCGAUGGUUAAGUUUGACAGUUUUUCUAAUAUGAUAUUUGAGUUAUUUUUUAGUCUAAUUUAAUACUUGAACAGAAAUUUAAGUUUUGAUAAUUAAUUUUUUAUUGUUUAAUUCGAGUUUUAAAAUUGAUUCAAUGAAAAUUAAUUAUUAAUACUAUUAGAUUUGAAUUUUUUUAUGAUUUUGCUAAUACAAUAAAUUUAGUGUUAAUUGUGAAUUGUUUAAUUUUGAUCAACUCUAAAACUCAAAUUAAAUACUAAUUAAAAAGUUAACAUCAUUACCUUUUGAUAUUAAAAUAUAUAAUUUUUGUCAAAUAUAAAUACUGGACAAAAAAAUAACACAUGUACCAUCUUUUAAAAAAAUCAAAUUUAAAUACUAAAUUAUGUAUUAAGGCUAAUAUUUAUUAUUAUGUAUUUCCACUUAAAGUUAUUGUUAUCGAAUCACAAAUAAAAACCCUUUUUAUUCGAAUAGUUACGACUUUUCAAUGAACCAAUUCUAUUUGAUUUUUUUUCUAUUUUUUUCCUUUUUGGGUAUUCAACCAAAAACCAAAUAUUGUUUUAAUUCACUGUAUAAUCUACUCUAAAGAAACAAAUUGCCAUUUCCUCUUCCCCUAUAUAUAUGUAUGCAUGAAUGUACCCAUAUACCUCAUUACACCCACAGUAAACUUAUUUGUAGAAAAGUUUGGUUUUAAUCUCUUAUAAAGAAAAGCCAAGAUGGUGGUCGGCUUGGUCGAGACGGCUGUUCCGGCAGCCAAAUCCACAGUUUCCUCCGCCGUGAAGAAACCUACUACUCUCUCCUCGGACCCUAUCAUCAAUGUUGCACGGUUAGUCCACUGCUUCCAUUGGUUGCUUUUACGUUAAUAUUUUGCUUUAUUCAUUUCAUGCAAUGUCUUUAAAAGAUAACAAAAUUUUUACCAUCCUUCAUGGACUCUAAAUCUAGAGUCUAACAAUUUUCCCUUGAUGCAUCCAUCCAAUGGCAGAUAUUGAGACUUAAGUUUUGGGGGGUUUAAGUAAAAUUUUCAAAUAAAUUAAAAGACAUUAUGAAGAUUUUCAAAAAUUUGGAGGAGCUAAAUUAAAAUUUUCAACAAGUUUCAAGGGAAAAAUGAAUUUUUCCAAAUAAAAUUAGGAGGGGGCAAGGCCCCCUUUGGCCUCCAUUACGGUUCGCCAUAGCAUGCAUGCAUUUGCUAUGUAAUGAAUAGUGAAGGGAUAAUUAAAACCCAAAACUUAACUCAGUUAGUACAUGCAGCGGUGAUCCUACGAUUUACGAGCCGUACUGGAAGAAGAUGGGAGAUAGGUGUAAAGUGGUUAUUGCUGGAGAUGAAUUCAUGAGCUACUUUUGCAAUGCGAUGAACCUAUGUUGGUUUUUGCUGCCGGAGCUCGACAAUGCCAUUCGGACACUGCAUCGUGUCGUUGGGAAUGCCAUGGUCGAUGAUGAUAGGUUCAUCGUUGUCGGGAAUGGCUCGACCCAGCUCUUCCAUGCUUUGCUAUACGCCCUCUCGUCUCCUGAUAUGCCUGAACCUAUUAACGUGGUCGCUGCCGCCCCUUUCUACUCGGUAAGCAUACAAUUGUAGCCGUUAGUGUAUAUUAUAUAUAUAUUUGGUUUUAACGUAUUUUUUGAAUAUAUUUUCAUAUAUAAUUUUACUUUAUUUUCAAUUUUUAAUAAAAUAUAUAUUAUAUAUACAAAUAGAAAUAUCCAUGUUUUAAUUAUGGUCUAAUUCUAACCCAGUCCUUGAAGGGUCAUUCUGCUUUUUAUUUCAGCCAUCAAUUGAUUAAAUAGCACGUGCACGGAUCGGUGCUGCCAAAACUACGUCGUUUUAACUUUUCUUUACUAACCUCUAUUUACUAUUUCUUUUACCUUGUAACUUGCAGUCAUAUCCAGAGGAGACGAAGUUCCUGCGAUCGGAGCUGUCUAAAUGGGCAGGCGAUGCAAAUUGCUACGAUAAANNNNNNNNNNNNNNNNNNNNNNNNNNNNNNNNNNNNNNNNNNNNNNNNNNNNNNNNNNNNNNNNNNNNNNNNNNNNNNNNNNNNNNNNNNNNNNNNNNNNNNNNNNNNNNNNNNNNNNNNNNNNNNNNNNNNNNNNNNNNNNNNNNNNNNNNNNNNNNNNNNNNNNNNNNNNNNNNNNNNNNNNNNNNNNNNNNNNNNNNNNNNNNNNNNNNNNNNNNNNNNNNNNNNNNNNNNNNNNNNNNNNNNNNNNNNNNNNNNNNNNNNNNNNNNNNNCCCUAGAUUAUACUUAUCAUCCUGGGACAAAAAAAAAAGCUUUAAGUAUUAAAUUCGGGGGUUAAAUGAUGACAUAAGCCAUAAGUGCCAAAUUAAACAUUAAAACAAAACUCAGGUAUCAAAUUAAAUAUUAAAACCAAACUCAAGUACCAAAUAGUAUAUUAACCCUAAAAGUAUCCACUUUAUAAUAAGCUCAUACAUUUUUCAUCGUAAAUGAUCUGCUUUUGAUAACUCUACAGCUGGGCUAUUGUUAAAGACAAAGUGAUCGCCGCCAAGAUGGUAAAGUUUAUAGAGGUGAGCAGCAUCGGCGUAUCCAGAGAAGCCCAACUCCGUGCCGCCAAGGUCCUAGGUGUCAUCGCCGACGACUGCCGGAAUCCCGACGUCAAAGGUGAAAACUUCUUCGAAUACGGCCGCCGCCUCAUGUCGGAACGAUGGGGAAAGCUCCGGGAAGUGGGGAUGAAAAGCAAUGGUGUUUUCAGCCUGCCUAAUUACCCACGAGAUUAUUGCAAAUUCACCGGCGAAUACACUGAUUCAAACCCUGGUAUAUAAAUGCUUUUCUUAUUUGCUUGUUAUAAAUAACACUGAUGUUUAGUCCUUUAACUUGCUUUUUCCAUAUUAGUCUGAAAAUUUGGCCCAGUAGUGAUGUGUCAGUUUAAAAAAAUUCUAAGCGAUGAUAUGGUAUAAUCUCAUAGUACCAUGUGAUCCAUGUCAUUACAUCUUAAUAGAAUCUAAAUUUAUGGAUCAAAUUAAGGAAAACAGUAAAGUUUUGAGAUUAAUGUGGAUCGAAAAAAAGUCAAGACACCAUGAUGAGAAAAGUUGGCAAAUUUAGGGACUAAAUGUUAGUUUAUUCGUUCAUGAAACCUUAUUAUAUUUAACUUUCUUUUCCUUUUGUUGAUGCAGCCUUUGCAUGGUUGAAGAGCAAGGAGGGUUUGAACUGUGAGAAUCUGUUAAGAGAUGAAAGCAAAAUAAUCACAAGGGGCGGGCCGAGUUUUGGUGUUGACUCAACAUACACAAGGGUUAGCAUGCUGAGUCGUGAUGUCGAGUUUGAGCUUCUGUUGGAAAGGUUGGCGGCCGUCAAAGGAACCGUCAAUGGAAGUUAGGGUUUAUUUAUCAUAGAAUAUGUGCCCUCUUUAAUGGAAAUUAAGGUUGAUCUAUAAUAGAAUAUGCCCUCGUCAAAGGAGCCAUAUCAAUGGAAAUUAGGGUUUAUCUAUAAUAAUUGUAUUAAAAUUUACAUGAGUUUGUAAGUCAUGUAUGCUAAUCUAAUUAAGAUAAAUUCAAUAUCUUUCCAAACCCCCAAAAAAUACCAGUCCCUUUUAAAAUUUAAAAUAUAUUUUUAAAUAAAUAUAUGAUCGAUAAAUAAUAUAAAUUUAUCUCUCUAAAUCGUAUUUCUGAAUUUAUCGCUGCACUUAUCAAUAUUUUAAUAUUUUUAUAUAUAAUAAAAGAUUAUAUUAUAUAUUUCAAAGUAGGAAAGGGGUUACAAUUUUUUUACAAGAGAUAAGGUUACAUAUAAGAAUUAAAUUUUAGAUCUCAAAAUAUUUUAAUUUCACAUAACUCAAUCUCACUCAUAAACAUUUUUAAUUCAUGUUCUUUUUCUAUUGUAUUUUCUAUUAUAUUUUAUAUCAACUAAUAUUUUAAUUUUUAUGACACAAACUUCGUGCUUUGACCUUUGAUUCUUUUUUCUAAUUUUCCAUUAUUCCGUUUGGUACUUAAAUAAUAAUUAAAAUAAUAAUAAAGGAGAGAUUCACUUGUAUGAAAGUAAAUUAUAAAAUUAAAGUAGUUUUACUUAAUUUUAUUAUUUUCUGUAUAAUUAAUAAUUAAUAAUUUAAUAAUUUAAUUUAUUAAUAUAAUAAUACUUGUUCGUAAAUGUUUUAAUUAUUCUGAUAUUACUAUCUUUAAUUUUAUUAUUUUCUGUAUAAUUAAUAAUUAAUAAUUUAAUAAUUUAAUUUAUUAAUAUAAUAAUACUUGUUCGUAAAUGUUUUAAUUAUUCUGAUAUUACUAUUAUAUAAAUUUAAAAUACAAUAUAUAUAUAUAUAAAUAUUCAACAAUUGAAAGCUUUUUUUUAUAUAAAUUAAAUAGUUAAAAUUUAAAUUUAUACCAAAUUUAACAUGCAUUAUCUAUGUGAAUGAAACAUAAAAUAUAAUAGUUAGAUUAUGAUAUACAUGAGUGAGAAAAAAAUUGAUGUAGAAAACAAAUAAAGCUUUACUUAAAAUAAUAAAGUUGGGGUGUUUGAAAAUCGUGUAUUUUAAAUUUAAAUAUAUAUUUUAAUUCAAUAUAAAAGACAAACACAUCUAUAGUAAUAUUUAGGUUAAAAUAUGUCAUAGGUCCUUACACUUUUCACAAAAUUAGAAUUUAGUUUCAUAUUUUCAUUUACAGGAAUUUAGUUUAUUUACUUUUCAAAUUUUCAAUUUGUUAACACUGUUAUUUUUGUGGUACUUGGUAGCGGUGUAACUAAAAAAAAGACCUUGUAAUGAAUUUAAAUUUAACAAAAUAAUUUCAAUAGUAUUAACAGUCAGACCUAAAUUUUGAAAUCUAAAAAGUAGAGGGAUUAAAUUUUUAGGAAUAAAAGUAUAGAGACUAAAUUUUAAAUUUACGAAGGGUAUAGAGACUAUGUCAUAUUUUAACCUAAUAUUAUUACUUUGUAAAUAAAAUGAAUUUUUAGUAAUUUCACAACUAAGUUAAUCUUAAAUCAUAAUAUAGAUCAUGAUAGUUCGAAUCAAACCAGACCGAUUGGGAUAUCAAUUUCGAGAGAGGCAUCAGAUCAAUUGAUUAACUAAUCGAGCUAAAAAUCGAGUGAAUCAAUUGAACUAAUUAUUAUUAUUUUAAAAUAUUUUCAUAAUUAUUUAUUUAAUUUAACCAUUCGAACCAAUGAAAUCAAUAACUUGCCCAAUUCAACCUCAAGUCGGAUUCUGAAACCUUAAUAUAAACUAUUUUUUAACCUCAUUAUAAAUUUUGAUAAUAUCUAUCUUUUUUGACAUAAUACUUAAAAUACGCAUAAUUUCUCUCUCACCCAUAAAUAAAAAGAUAAUACGCUUUAUUAUAUUCGAACUCACGUACUCAUGCGCCAAGAUAUGCUAGAAUAAACUAAAUUUAGAUGAUAAUAAUAAUAAUAAUAAUAAUAAUAAUAAUAAUAAUAAUAAUAAUAAAUAAAAUUAACAUAAAUGCGCCAGCGAGCAACCACGUAGGCGCAAUUUUUCAAAUUGAGCAAACAGCGUAGUGGAUAAAACUCCAUUUGUUUCACCUCGUCAUCUCCGCAAAACCCACCUUCAACGCCUUAAAAGCCGUUUUUUUUUUCCUUACUUUUUUCAUUUGCUCCAAAAAAAUAAGGAGGAAAAGAAAAAACAACGGCCAACAAAUUCAUCAAAGAAACUCAAAAAAAUGCGAGCUCUACUCUCACCAGAAUCUUCUUCUCUUUAUUUCACUUCAAUCAAUAUCGUUUCUCGAGAUCCAAAUCCAUGCCGAUCUCGGACCUCUCUUUAUUUUUUGAAAAGAGACGGCGGCUGCCGUUUGAUUCGCCGGAAAACUCGUUCGACCGCCGUGAAGGCGUUGCUUGAUUCGGCGACUAUAGAGGAGCUAGGUCUUAAAGAAUCUGAUAUGAGAAAUCCGGCGAUUUCUUCUAC